rnacentral:misc_RNA from 1 species
GUAUUUUUACAAGAUGCAGUUUCUGUUUUGAUGGUUUUGAGGGACAAGGAAACGAUGUGCUAUCCUGAAAAUUUAUUUAAUUUUUAACUAAUAAAUCCCUCAAAAUCACAAGUCAGGGUUUAUUCCCUUUUGCUUGGAAUCUACUUGUCUUCUCCUUUAAUUUUUGUUUUAUUUGAUUUAAUUUUGUAUUUAAACGACAUCCAUUUCUCUGCGGCUACUUUUGUUUCUUUGCAAAUAUUCAUCCUGGCAUAUUUCAGGCAACAGAUUUGCGUCUCCUGAUAUUUUACUCUCCGAGAUUUAUCUGCAGUGGAGCUUUUGCAGUAAAGCUGCCUAAUUGACAUGAGAAAUCCUAUAUAAAGAAGCAAAUGUUUUGGUGGUGCAUGCAAAGAACAAUGCGGUUCAUAUUUAAAAAAGCUUUGUUAUUUUUUCUGUUCUCCUUAUUGUUUUCUGGUUGCAUUCUGGCACAAUCUGCAAUUGAAACUUCAGAAAGGUUAAGAUCCGCACCACAUAAAAAUGUAGGGAACAAUGUCAUAGAUGGCACUGGUACAGAGAGUGCCAUUGAUUUUGAGAGCACAAGUAGCGAACUGGGUGAUAGGAAGGGCAAUUAUGACAGAGUUUCAAUAUCUACAGUUGCUUUAUUUACCUUGGCCAUGGCUGCUGCCACUGGUUUAGGUGCAGUCCCAUUCUUUUUUGUAGAGCUGGAUCCUCAGUGGGCUGGAUUAUGCAAUGGAAUGGCUGCUGGUGUGAUGUUGGCUGCUAGCUUUGACCUCAUACAAGAAGGGCAGAGCCAUGGUGCUGGUAAUUGGGUUGUGAUCGGGAUUUUAUCUGGUGGUAUUUUCAUUUUGCUAUGCAAGAAGUUUCUUGAACAAUACGGUGAAGUAAGUAUGUUGGACAUAAAAGGUGCAGAUGCAACCAAAGUUGUUCUUGUUAUCGGAAUUAUGACUCUUCAUUCAUUUGGAGAGGGUUCAGGUGUUGGAGUCUCCUUCGCUGGCUCGAAAGGUUUCUCUCAAGGCCUUUUGGUAACUUUAGCCAUUGCUGUGCAUAACAUACCAGAGGGAUUAGCUGUGAGUAUGGUUCUUGCAUCAAGAGGUGUUUCUCCACAAAAUGCAAUGUUAUGGAGUGUAAUUACAUCUUUGCCUCAGCCCAUUGUAGCAGUUCCUUCAUUCAUAUGUGCUGAUGCAUUUAACAAGUUCCUGCCUUUCUGUACUGGCUUUGCUGCUGGAUGUAUGAUCUGGAUGGUUGUUGCUGAAGUGCUUCCUGAUGCUUUCAAGGAAGCCUCUCCUUC